UACAACCCUGGUUGUAUUCAGGACUGCCAUGGGAUGUGCUCUCUACAAAGAUGAAAUUUUUGCAGUUGGAGGAAUAGGAGGAUCAAAUGGAAUUGAUGUUGAGAUUUAUAAUAUACAAAGGAAGGAAUGGAGAACUGUAGGAAAAUUAGUUGGAUUUAAGCAAUACGGUCCUAUGCGCGUGUACGAUGGCAAACUUACAAUCUUUGGUGGUGGUUCUUCGACGAUUGAAGCUUUUAAAGAAGAUGAUGAAACAUGGUAAACAGUGGAUACAGUUGCUGGUUUUGGUACAAAUUAUGGUUUUGGUUCAGCCUCAGUUCCAAUUUACUGCAAAGUGUGAAUUUGAAUGGAAGCAAAUAAUUGAGAAGUAAUUCAACUUAUAUUUAUUUUAUAUUAGACUUACGGAAUUAUUAAAUGAAUAUUCUAAUUGGCA